rnacentral:misc_RNA from 1 species
UUUCCGUAGGUGAACCUGCGGAAGGAUCAUUACCGAGUUUUGAUUGGGUUGUAGCUGGGCUUCCGACGCAUGUGCCCGCACUGCUCAUGCACUCUACACCUGUGCGCUUACUGUGGGUCUCAGCUCGUGAAGCGUGCUCUGUUACCGCGGGUUGUGAAGAGCGUCUGUGCCUGCGUUUAUCAGGAACAUUAUAAAGUAUCAAAAUGUGUAUUACGAUGUAACGCAUCUAUAUACAACUUUCAGCAACGGAUCUCUUGGCUCUC